AAGUCGUAACAAGGUUUCCGUAGGUGAACCUGCGGAAGGAUCAUUAAUGAAGUCUGGGCCUCGGCCCUCUCUCUUCCACACACUUGUGAACUUACACCGUUGCUUUGGCAGGUCUCCGGACGGGCGUCAGCCUCGAAGGUCAGGUCGAAAGACGCCUGCCAAAGACACUUAUCCACUCUUUUUUAAUUGUCUGAAUCUUGUUUAUAACAAAUAAAAUAAAA
rnacentral:misc_RNA from 1 species